ACUGGCCUCCACUCUGGUACCCACUUUUGUGGCUUUAAUCAUCAGACCACGUGAAAAAUAGCAAGUCCUCCGCAGCCCGCAGCUUCAUCUGUGAGCCCAAAUCCUCAUCUCUUCAAGCCCAAGGGGCAGUUCUACUUGAGUGAGGAGGGCUGGGUUCACAGCCCUGGGAGCCCUUAAUCUGGGGUUGCUUUGGGUCCUUCCUGGUCUGAGAUGACAGCUGAGGACAUUCCCAUACACCACAGUCCUGGGAGACCUACCUUCUGACCAAAGCAAGGCAUAUCCACGUCUGACAUGAGUCUGUACCCUGCCAGUCACUGAGAGAAGCACCAGAAACAGCGGGAGCCCAUAAAGUCCAGGAAAGAAGAACGUUUCAUUAAAUGCCUGGAUUUCUGAUGGUCCUCAGCUGUCUGAUCGUAUACCAGGAUGAGAGACUUCAAAGCUGAAUAGAGGCUCUAAUUUUGUUUUUUGCUACGGAACUGAAGAUAAGCUUGCCA